UUGAAAUGUAAAUAAGAAAUACCCAAUUUAAUAAAGAUGGGGAAAAAAAAGAAAGCAAAAAAAAGAAUUUAUUUUUAUAUAUUCUUUUCAUAUCAGAGUCCAGGGGAAGCUUGCCAGAUUCUUUGCUUUGCUCAUUGUCCUGUUCUGUGUUUGAUAAGUAGUGUUCAUUGCCUCGAUGAAUCACAUUCUACGUCUAGCUGAUAAUUGAUUUGUAAUGUCAAGAGAGUUUUUUCUCCCACUAAUUUCCUGUACUUAAAACGAGAGGUUUGACUUGCUCUUGGCAAGACUGUAUUUGUAAUGUGUUCUCGUUGCAACACACCAGAAUGAUGUUAUUUCUGGUUGCCUGAGUUUUAAUGGUGCUGAAGUUGGCUAAUAGUGUAUGAGCACUCCUCCAUAAUCAACUUCCUCAUUGCCAUUUGGCAUGUCAGUUAAUACAUUUGCUAGUGAGACUGGAGAGGUGGCUUACUUUAGUAACUAGAUGCUCUUACUGCUCUUGCAGAGGUCAUGGGUUCAAUUCCCAUCACCCACAUGGCAACUCCAAACUACCAGUUCCAAAGGAUCUGAUGCUGUCUUCUAAUGUCUGCCAGUUCAUAUACAGAUGUGGUACACAUGCAUUCAGGCACACACACAUAAAAUAAAACUAAAAGGUUAAUAUAUUUAUCAUAGCUUUGAUCUGCUAUAUAUUAGAAUUUAUUAAAUAGGUUUCUAGUGAAAAUUUAAAUUUAUUGUUUCUAAUAAUCCGAUUACUUUAAAACUGCACAUGCUGGAAAUGUAGCUACACAUCAUACUUGCUUCUGUGUAUUUGUCAGUUUUUUUUAAAUUAUCUUUAAUCAUUUUUUUUAUAGUCCAGUCUUUAUCCCCCUCCUGGUGCCCUGACAGUUCCUCAUCCCAUUCUUUCUCCCCUGUCUCCAAGAGGAUGUCCCUCCUAAUCCCCACACUCCCCAACCCCCAUCCCAUGCCACCUCAGUAGGUCUUCCCAGUCCCUGGGGCUUCACAUCUCUCAAGGGUUAGUUGCAUCUUCUCUCACUGAGGCCAGACCAGGCAGUCCUCUGCUGUAUAUCUGUCAGGGGCCUCAUAUCAGCUGAUGUAUGCUGCCUGGUUGGUGGUUCAGUGUCUGAGAGUUCUUGGUGGUCCAGGUUAGUUGAGACUGCUGGUCUUCCUAUGGGGUCUCCCUCCUCCUUAACUUCUUCCAGCCUUUCCCUAAUUCAACCACAGGGAUCCAUGACUUCAGUCCAUUGGUUGGUUGUAUCUGCCUCUGUCUCAGUCAGCUGCUUGUUGGUCCUCUCAGAUGACUAUGCUAGGCUCCUGUCUGUAAGCACACCAUAGUAUCAGUAAUAAUGUCAGGCUUUGGAGCCUCCCAUUGAGAUGGGUCCCAAGUUGGCCCUGUCACUGGACCACCUUUCCCUCAGUCUCUUCUCCCUUUUUGUCCCCACAGUUCUUUUAGACAGGAACAAUUAUGGGUCAGAGUUUUUAACCAUAGGAUGGCAAUUCCAUCCCUCUACUUGAUUCCCUAUCCUUCUACUGGAAGUGGACUUUAUAAGUUCCCUCUCCCCACUAUUAGGCAUUUCAUCUAAGCUCCCUCCCUCUGAGUCCUGAGUCUCUCAUCACCUAGGUCUCUGGUAUAUUCUAGAGGGUCGCCUCACCUCUCACCUCCCAAGGUUGCCUGUUUCCCUUCAUUCUGUUGACCCUCAGGGGUUCACUCCUGUUACCCCCUAAUACCUCAUCAUGCUCCUCUUUCCCCUCCCGGACCCCUCUCCCACUCAGGCCCCCCUCCUUCUGCUUCCUCUCCCAUGAUUACUUUCUUCUCCCUCUCAAGUGGAAUUGAGGCAUCCUCACUUGUGAUGCUUGGCUUGGCUUGUUAACCUUCUUGAGUUCUGUGGAUGGUAUUGUGUACUUUGGCUAAUAUCCUACUCAUUAGUGAGUACGUACCGUGCAUGUCCUCACUCAGGAAGGUAUUUUCUAGUGCCAUCCAUUUGCCUGUGAAACUCAUGAUGCCCUUAUUCUUAGUAGUUGAACAGUAUUCCCUUUCAUGGCAAGGCGUGGGUGCUCCUUCACCAUCUCUAUACUGAGUUGUAAUUGUGAAAACUGGUUAGCAACACUGAUAUCCAACAAUAGAAGAUAUGUUUUGAUAGAUGUGUACUGCAGAUCUAUACUGUAAAUAUUGUACAGCCUCUAGACUUUGACAAAUACUUAAUAAAAAUAUUCAUGAAUAAAUAUCAAGUGGUGGAACAAAUAAAAAUGUAUACAUAUUGUGGCCUGAAAAUUAACUAAAAUACAGGGAUUGCAAAAUAUUCUCUCAGCAUAGAUAUGGUCAUGCUUUUCAUAAUUCAGCGAAAGUGUCUUUCAAUUUUUAAUCUUUAUUUUUAUAGAUCAUUGCAUAAAUGACAGUGGUUUUAUAAGUAAAAACAAUAUAUGUUUGUUUAAAAGAGCGGUCUAUGGUCAAGUUAUACCUGAAGGACUUAUAGUUGUCGACUUAGACACUGGCUUUGACUUCUUUUGGAACUUUAGAUCUUCUCCUGGAUUUGUCUGUCUUUUAAAAAUAUGUUAAUUUUUAGUUAUUCUUAUUUUUAAAUUAUAUAUACAUAUAUAUGUAUAUAUAUAUUCUCUCUCUCUCUCUCUCUCUCUCUCUCUGUGUGUGUGUGUGUGUGUGUGUGUGUAUACUUGAUGGUUGUCAUUUCCAGGGCCUCCGUCUUCUUUUUUUUUUUUUUUUUUUGGGCCUCCGUCUUCUUACCUUUCUGUUAUUUGCUUCUGUAAUUUGAUAGGUCACUGCUCCGGUUCAGCCGGUAAGUAUUGCUUGGGGAAGAAUAAGAACAGAUGACCUAAACUUUUGAAAUGAUACUGACAGUUGAAGGAUUUUUGGAUGGGUUUAGAUAGAUUAAAUAACCCACAUGGCCAAAUAUUUAAGGAAUAUGAUGCUUUCUCCAGGAAACAUUUCACAUUCAAAUGGAGGGAGAGAACAAGAGCUCUAAGGUACAUAUAUUGUGCCCCUGGGGCAGCAGCUGACAAACUCAUUUUCAAUGUUUCUGUAGUAGUCUAGAGGAGAAUUCUGUCUACUCAGGAAACCUGUCUUUGCAGCAGUGGCCUUCAUGUGAUUGGGUGAGGCCUGCCCACAUUCUGGGAAGUCUUUCCUGCUCAAAGUGUAUUGAUUAAAUUAAUUACAUAUAAAAGAGCUUCAAGGCAACAUUUUGACUGAUGUCUCACCAAAUGCUUUGCCCUGCAGUUUAGCCAAAUGGGCACAUCACACUACCACUGUAGAGGAUAAAGUUCCUGUGAUCUUAUCAUUGUCAGAGUUGAUUUUGUUAGCCUUCAGAAUUCAGAGCCUGGUUUUUGGGUUUUUUGUCCCCCCCCCCUUUUUUUUGCUUUAUGGAUAUGAUCAAUGAAAAAGUCUCCUGUCCUUAUCUGGUUCACACUGUAAAAUGAGACCCAAGGCUGCUAGGACAUUUUAUAGCUCUGCGGAAAUCCAUCCUGAUAAAGAAAACACCCUUCUUGGAACCCCCACCCCCACCCCAACUGUCAUCACAUAGCGCUUUAUUGACAACUUCAUGAUAAGAACUAAUGCCUCUUUAACUUCCUUAUUUACACUAUAGAAAAACCUACUAAUUGCUGACUUGUUUAUUCACUAAAAUUUGUCACUUUUCAAAAGUGAAUGCCUUUUUGCUAGUGAGUGAACUUUUUUCUUAGGAGAUAUUUAUAGAAUUCUAAUGGCUGUGUUUAAAGCCUUAAAUCAUGACAGUGUGGUGUAAGGUGGCUAGCAAUGAAGAAAACAUUUUUUCUUUUUUUCUAUUUUCUACUUCAAAAAAAUGUAUCUGAAGCCAGGAGGUGGGGCAUGCCUUUAAUCCCAGCUCUCAGGAGGUAAAUGGAGGUAGAUUUCUGAGUUCAAGGCCAGUGUGGUCUGCCAAGGACAGUCAGGGCUACUGUAGAAACCCUAUAUCAGAAAAACAAAGCAACAAAAAAGUGAAACAGUGAUCCACACGGCAGCAGAAGCGAUCCAAGAACUGUUAUGGUCAGGUGAGAGUGACAAGCAGGUAAUCCAGUCUCUUAGGAGAAAAGGCUCAUUACUUAACAUCAGAACAUUAAAGGCCUCCUUAUGAUGAUUUGAAGUAAGAAGAAUCAUAAACAUUCUAAUAAUCCUCCUUUCUUAGUCUCAUUGAAAUUGUUAUUUUAAAACUCAUUAAGAUUAAAUUUCAUCAAAACACGUAUGAUCCUCUACAUGUUUACUGUGUGACUUCAAACUUAUAAGAGACUAGUAGGAUUUGAAAUUCAAUGAAACAUACUGAUGUAUAAAUAAAUAUACGUAUAUUCUGCUUGCAAUCAUUGUAUGAGUGUUUCCUGUUUUCUUAAUUGGUUAAAUCGUGUAUCAUUAGAAGAAGCUCACUUAUUAUUAUAACUUUGUAAUUGUCUUUUUAAAAAUUAUUUUAUUUAUUUGUUUACAUUCCGAAUGUUGCCUCCCUUCCUGGUCCUUCCUUCCCAGAGUUCUUCACCUCCUGCCCCUUCCCUCUCCCCUUUGCUUCUGAGAGUUUAGAUAGAAGGAAUGUCCUCAUCUGGAAUCCACAUGCUUCCUUCAAGAGUCAAAGACCAUCUAACAACAUCUGCACCAUGAGGCAUGAAAAGUCCUUACUUUUCAAUUGUCAUUGAAUUGAAUUGAUUGUCCAAGAGAUUCCCAAAACACUACAGAGUAUGACCAUUGCCCUCAGUUGCCCUCAAGAGGUGGAAGUUAACACCCUGUUCCCGAAGACACGGGGCACUUCAGACAGAAUUCAGAGGAGCUUGUGCUGGAAAGUCUCCUUCCUGAGGACUAGCUUUCAUGGUACCAGACAGUGCUGUGCAAGCUUCUAAAGAGAAGGAAACAUUCAGAAAACACCGCUUUUCAGUCUCACUGGACAUGCCGGCCCUCCUUGCUGAAGUACGAGAUUGAAAGUAGAACAAGACAUUUGGAUUCACCAGCGUCACAGGACAGCAUCGGAGAUCUCAAACCAUGCAUGAGUCCUAGCGAAAUCGGCUUUGAAGUGUGGCUACCCGAAGAGAGUCCUUCCAAGUCUGCCCUUCCACAAGAAGAAGGCCUGUGGAUGUCUCAAUACCUGCUCUCUGGAGACUGCAACGUUGACUUUAGACAUUACUCAUGCCAGGUAGUGUACACUGCAAUUAUCCAACGGAGGGCAGCCACAGAAUCAUCAAAGCGUGAAGCUCCUGUGACAGAUAAGACCCAGAGGGUUAGAUGCAAAUGUCAGAGUGGGGCUAUUGUUCUGGAGUCUGAGAACUGGAGAUGAAAGGGGCUUCAAACACGGCAGGAGUAAACAUCGAGGGACAGGGGAAGAUCCUCCAGCUGCAACAAGCCCCUCCUCUCAGAGUGUCCUUUGAAGUUCUGGUAGAGAGUGCACUCGGUGGGUCAGCUGAGUCCAUGGAGCCUGAACACAAACACAAACAUGUAGAUACUUUGCUCUUAGAUUCGGCCAAGAGACUGAAGACCCAGUGCGACCACUCAGUCUCAUUUUACAAAUUGCAGAGGAACACCUGAACUCAGGCUCUUGCCUAGGAACAUCUGAAAACUAAGUUUAAAUGCUUUAAAUGCCAAGUGAUAAAUGUAAACAGUUUAUUUUCUCAGGAGAGUGAAAAUAAUUUGCAGCAUAAAUUCUUCCAUCAGUGACAUGGAAUUAACUAGGAGCAUCUAAAGGCAGUUUAAAUCACCCCCGGGGACUACAGCUGGAUGACCUGCAAAGUCCCUCUCCAACUUCUUCCCUUUCCACUCUUCUUUCGUUUUUUGAAUUGGUGACCGAUAUCUGUAAUAGAACAUUAACGCCCAACAAAAACAUUUUAAUUAAAUUUCUUUAGCGUUUAAAACUGGGAAGAAGUUAAAUUUGACUGAUGUUUUCAAGAAGCCACCCAUCCCUCCAUUCCCUUCUCCUGCAUUUCUUUCCUAGUUCUAUAAACUUCUACUGGACUGAUAAUUGUAUGUCCUUUUGGAGUCCAGAGUGACAUUUUGGUCAGGUACAUAUUUCUGAAUUUGCUUUUGUAAUAUUGCUUUUAACACAUGAUUUUGUUAGAUAUACCCUAAGAAUGCUUCAAAUAAUAAUAAAUAAUGAUAGAAGCCAAUCUUGGUGGAAUAUAGGCAUAAGCACACACACGUGUGUAAAAACCUGUUGUGGUAGACUAGCAUAUACAUAUUUUAUAUUACUUGGCAUUGAGCCUAUAGCCUCACACUGGCUAUGCACUCCACCACUGAGCUAGACCUUCAAGCCUGUUUUUACUUUUGUUUUUUAAGACAGUGUCUCACUAAGAUGCCCAGGUUGGCCUUGAAUUUAUUCUGUAGCUCAGGUUAGUCUCAAACCUGCCGUUCCUGCCUCCACUUCUAUGCCUCUAUCAGGCCUCUGAUAUCAAGACUGGUGACUAUGUACACUUAAAAAACCAUUCAAAAAUAAACACAUUAAAUAACAAGAGGCUCUAAGCUGAUUAAAUUGAGUAAUAGAAUCCCAAUAAGCACAAAUGGUGUUUAGUGGUCAUUAGAACAGUUGUCAUGACAUGAAAAUACCUGACAUGUUAGAGAAAAUGCUAGUUAUUAUUAUCAAGACCAUGAUUUCUGCUUUUUAUGCUUGUAGUAGUAAGAAAUACUAGGUUAUGAAACACCAGUUAUAAAAACAUACAUAACAUUUCCCUACCCAGUUAUAUAGAUCCUAUGAAGUGUAGGGGCUGUGGAGUCCACGCAAGAACCUGCUUUGAGUUGGUCAUUUUACUUCUGUCAGGGGCUUGACGGCAUCAGAAACCUGGGGAUCUCUCAGUCUGUGUCUCUGGCUUUAUUUUCAUUAUUAGAUUUUCACAGGGUUGGUGAUCAGGGGCCCUUUGAUUUCUCUGGCUGAAAGAAUUUUGCCUGUAGGUUUCUGAUACAGAUUUAAUUUCUCACGCGUUGACUGUAAGAGUGGUAUGGAGAGUUUCUCAGUGUGCCUUGACACCGUUGUCUUUUGGAAAUCCCAGCUUUCAUGUUGUUUUUCAACUUAUUAGCACUGAGUCCUUGGUCCUCCUGAGUCACAAAGACCCACAAGGCAAAUGCUGACUCAGGUCCUUGCUUGGCUCUGUGGUUAUUUGACUUCUCAUCACUUCUGGCCUCUGAGAAUUUCCCUGACUUUCCUGCCUUCUCAGAUACACAUUCAUCUUCAAUAGAAAAAAAUCACACUACAAAGCUUCUCUUUUUUGAUGACCUUCUCUGGACAUCUCCAUUUCUUUAGGUAGCAAGAAUACUGUCCUGAUUCUGAUCAAAUUAAUCUUGUCUAAUCUUGUUUAAUGUUUACAGACAUCCUAUGACGUAGCCCAUCAGAGCUUGAGGGAGGGGAAAGUAGGCAGCUUUUUGUUUGAGCAAUAAAUAACUGAAUGUUUCUGCCACCACAUAAAUGAGUAAUUCAUUUUCAAUUCAAUUUGAGGCAAUCAACAUGCCAUCAGGUGGACGAUGAGUUUGGAACCUCCCCUUUCUAACUUGCUCCAGGAAAAAGCAAAAAGAAAAAUAAUAAUAAAACAAAUAAAUAAAAAGAAUUUGUAUACAUUGCCAUUAUAAACAGUCUUUUAAGUGAAAAGUUCUGUGAAAUGGACCCACAUUGUCCUGUCAUUUACCAUCCCCUCUCCUACAUUGCGAAAUAUGUUUCUCCUCCUCUCUUCUCUCUCUCCCUUCUCUUUCCUUCGCAUUUAGUAAUUUUUUAAAAAGCCAGCCACGUUGUGAAUGAUGGCCAGCCCUGCAUGAUGGGACUCUGUAUCAUGGGCUGAUGGGCUCCUUGCUUAUUUUUCUGAGGAUUUUGAGGUGUCUGCCUUCCGUGUCUUGCACCGUUCCCUGUCGAGAUGAGUCACAACAGAAAUGCAAUCUUAGACAUUUCUUCUGCGGUGCAGCAGACCGUGAAGCACAGCAAAGGGCAAUCUGCUUCUAAGCCAGCUGUAGUUGCAGAGAAAGAUAAGCAGUGAGCUUUGUCCUGGUUGGGAGGCCAUUCUUACUGAGUCUCUUUGCUUGGGCUACUGCAAAAUGAGCUCAAAGCAAUACACAGGUCUGGGAUCUUUAAAGAAGACUCGUCCUAGGGUCCUGGGGCUGAGUUAUCUCUCACCUAAGCUGCUCAAAAUAUCUCAGUCAAUGUUUCUAUCAUCCCGCCUCUUUCAAUCAGCUACCUGCUGUGAGCAAGCAGCAUGCAAGGAGGUGGUAAAACCAAGCAGGGGAAAAUAAGGAAAUGAUUAACACAUUUGUUAGAAUGGCUUAGCGCAAAUGGCCUUCCAGGCUUCAGACGCACAGCGCCAGCUUUCUGUGUGCAGGCUGUCUCCAUGCAUUUGCCUUCCUACUCUACUGCCCUUACUUUUGUGGGUUAUCCCCAGCUGGCUUUGCUGGCCCCUCAAGGCUUUUCUUUUUCUUUGCUCUGUGCCUGUCUUCCUGCACACGUGCCGAUUGAUUGCUACAUUAUUUUCAGCGCUUGCAAUCAAGAGCAGGCCAUUUCAGCUCAGGCCCCUCAUUCCGACCAUUCCUAGUACUAAUUGAGUUCUUCAUCGUUCGGACCCCUUACUUCUCUUUUCUAGUUCAGCCCCAGCAGUUUAUACCAGCCUCACCUACCCUUGCUUUUUUUUUUUUUUUCCCCCGGAGCUGGGGACCGAACCCAGGGCCUUGCGCUUCCUAGGUAAGCGCUCUACCACUGAGCUAAAUCCCCAGCCCCACCCUUGCUUUUUCUCUUGCUCAUUUAUGCACUUUUUAAUAUGUGUUUUAACUUCCCAGGAACUCUCUUCUUUCUUAACAUUUCAAAAGUAUCUCUCGUCUUUCAUUAUGAGUUGUUUGUGCCUCCUACAAACCUAAUAUUGGAAAAUUAGCUCUUAUAUUUUUCAGAUUAUAAUAUAAUUAAUUAUAUCAUUUACCCCUUCCCCUUUCUGUCUUUCAAAGCCUCCUUUCCUUGCUCUUUCUCAAAUUCAUCUUUUUUAUUCAUCGCUUUGUGUACAUAUAUGCAUAUAUAUGUGUACAUAUAAAUUCCAAAAUAUAUAAAUACAACUGCUAAGCCUGAUUAAUAUUACUUGUAUGUAUGUUUUCAGGGCUGACCAUGUGGUAUUACAUAACCAAUAAUUGGCUAUCGGAUAAUGAGUGUGCCCUUCCCUGGGGAAGACUAUUUUCCCAUUAUCAACAUUUCUUAGUUGAAAACCUGAUGUCUUUUUAAAAAUCUUGAACAACUUAGAAAUUCUUUUUCUGAGAAACAUUGUAAGUUAUUCUUUUAUUAAUAUGAAUGUACAAGAUUCAUGAGAAAGUCAAGGAUCUGCUUGCCCUACUAUGGGCCAAUAAUGAUCAAGUUAUCCUGAAAUACAAGGAAAGGCCAACAAUGAAGUUAUCAGUCCCUCACUACUGAAAAGCUGGGUGACAGCAAAGAGAAAUUAAAAGCCUGGUCUCUAUUGGCAGAUGGAUUCUGUAGCUUCUGCUUCAGAUUUUCCUAGUACACUCAGGUACAAGCAUGAUUCAUAGUCUUGAACAGGGCAAGGGACACGGUUAUUUCCAGCCAGUGUCAGGCACCAUGCUCCUCUUUCAUGGUUUCACAACUGCUUCUUAUGGGUCUAACUCCUGCAGAGUAGAGGCUGAAUUGGGGAGUAAGGGUAAAGGGGCACAUUAAGAAGCUACACACAUGUUCCAGUAGUCCCCCUGGUUUGGUUUAGGUCUAACCCUAUUCAAAAAGUAUGGAGCCUGCUGAUGGAGUAGCAUGCCAUUUCAUUUCCUUCCUUUUAGAGAUAUUUUAAUAUGCAUGGAAGCUUUUUAAAUUCAUCUGAGUACCAGGGCACUGUCAAUGCACAGAGUCAAAUUUCAUAGGUUCAUUUUUAGAUGCAAGAUGUGACUAUACACAAAAUAAUCGUAAAAGUUGUAGUCGUAGAAUAAAUACUGAUUGGCCAGAAAGUGCGUCUCCCCUCUUCAUUAGCCAUUUCUUUACUUUCCUCCUGCACUUAUUUCUUCACGUGUUUCUUUACGUCUGGAAGAAAAUAUCCCACAUGUCCAUCAUUGUUCCUGGCAUGUUGGAGGAGCAGGGUGGCGUAGUAGGAUGGGGAACCUACAUGAAAGAUGGGGAGGCAUGUUGUUUGAAUACGACAAGAAAAAGAAAAGAACCAGGUUGUGUACUAAUGGCUGUCCAGGAUGCCUUUGGUUUAACCCUCUUUGAGAUCCCUUGAUCAUGUACUGUCCUGGGGAAUUUCAUUAGAUUUACCUUUCCACUGCGGUGACAGAUGACAUUUGCAGGAAGCUUGGGCAUGACCCAGUGUCUUACUGAGGGCUAAUGCACUGCCUUUGAGGGAAAAAAAAGCCAUGUUUUCCCUGUGAGAAAAGAACCCUCCUAUAUCUCUGAUGCCAGACAACGGUUUUCAGAGGCUUUUAGGACAUCUGGAGCUCUUUCCUGCCUGUUAUCUCUGAGCUGAGUGAACCGAGGGCCUGCGUUGGCAGAGGGGUGGUUGGGAGUGGAGGAUGUGUCUGGGGAUACUGAACCCUCUGAAUGACAAGAGACUGUCCAAAUGUCAGUGGCUAUAAUUUUAGGAGUGUUAGAGCGUAAGGAGAAAGUAACUCUGGUAAUCUGUGGAUGAGCAUGGUGCCUGCCACUGGCUGGAAAUAACAAGUUAUAAGCGGUUGGCAUGUCAUCUGUAUGCCUUGGGCUUUUUUUUUUUUUUUUUUUUUAAAUCCAAUGAGUCUGAUUCAUGUGAGGCUCUGACACUCCAGCUGUUCUGCCAGCAGACAGGAAUCUGGAGGUUGUCUCCAGCUCAUCUCUAGAGGAGAUGCUAUGACAUGCUUGGGAGGGGACCAUCUGACUGUGGUAUUGCCUGAAGCGUCCCAUCUUAGGUCUGUUUAGGAAGUUGUCUUCUGGAAGUUUGGAGAGUUGUGAGCGGCCAUGGCCUUCUCAGUUUCCUUCUAGCUCCCCACAUCAUAUCUUCUAUUUCAGCAUAGGUGGCACUUUUGUUUUGUUUUGUUUUUUUCACUUUCAAAGGAAUGUUUUUUUUUUAGGACAGUAAACAUAGAAUUUAAUGUGCUCAAUUGGCAUCAGUUUUCAAAAAAAAAAACUAUUAUCUUUAAUCUUUCCUCACAGUCCAGUUGCUAACCCCCUCUCCUGUUCUGCUCACUCACAGUUCCCCAAACCAUUCCUCUUCCUCCCCACACCCCACUAGACCUCCCCUCUCCCUGGGGCUGCAAGUCUCUCAAGGACUAAGUGUGUCUUCUCUCACUGAGGCCAGACAAGGCAGUCCUUUGCUGUAUAUAUGUUGGGGGGGGGGCUUGGACCAGCCAGUGUGUGCAGCCUGGUUGGUGGCUCAGUGUCCUAGAGAUCUCAGGGGUCCAGGUUAGUUAAGAAGGCUGGUUUUCCUCCUCAACCUCUUCCAGACUUCCCCCAAUUCAACUACAGGGGCUCCCCACUUCAGACCAUUAGUUGGGUGCAAAUAUCUGCCUCCCUUUCAGUCAGCUGCUUAUUGGGCCUCUUGGAGGGCAGCCGUGCUAGGCUCCUGUCUGUAAGCACACCAUAGCAUUGGUAAUAGUGUCAGGCCCUGGAGCCUUCCUCUGAGAUGGGUCCCAAUUUGAGCUGGUCACUGGACCUCCUUUCCCCAGUCUAUUCUCCAUUUUUGUUCCUGCAGUUGUCUCAGACAGGAACAGCACUGGGUCAGAAUUCCUGACUGAAAUGGCAACCCCAUCCCUCCACCCGAUGCUUGUCUUUCUACUGGAGGUGGACUCUACAAGUUCUCUCUCCCCAUUGUUGGGCAUUUCAUCCAAGGUCCCUCCCUUUGAGUCUUGAGUUCCUCUCCCUUCCCAGGUCUCUGGUGCACUCUGGAGGGUCACCCAACAUCCCCAGGUUGUGUAUCUUCAUUUAUUCCUCUGGCCCUUGGGGCUCCACUCCUGGUCUCUACCCCAAUACCUGAUCAUGUCCCCCUUCCCCUGUCCCUCCCCCUCCCAUCUACUUUCUUCCUCCUCCCAAGUGGGAUUGAGGCAUCCUCACUUGGGCCCUUUGGCUUGUUAACCUUCUUGAGUUCUGUGGACUGUAUCUGUAUUUUUUUUUUUUUUUAGCUAAUGUCCAUUUAUUACUGAGUACAUACCAUGUAUUCCUUUUGGGUCUGAGUUACCUCACGCAGGAUGAUAUUUUCCAGUUCCAUCCAUUUGCCUGCAAAACUCACAUGUCCUUGUUCUUAAUAGCUGAAUAGUAUUCCAUGUAACUAAACCACAUUUUCUGAAUCCAUUCUUCUGUUGUGGGACAUCUGGACUUUUUCUGGGCUCUGGCUGUCACAAAGAAGGUUGCUAUGAACAUAAUGGAGCAUGUGCCCUUGUGGCAUGGUGGGGCAUCUUUUGGGUAUAUGCCCAAGAGUGGUAUAGCUGGGUCUUCAGGUAGAUCUAUUUCCAAUUUUAAUACUGUGCUAGGAAUAACAUCAUACGCUAACACCUUCAUACUGCGGGAUGGUGCUGACAUAGACACCUAAUUCUAGGAAGCUACUGAUGGCUUUGUCUAGACUUAUGGUCUUCAAAUUAGGUACCAACUGGGUGGGAAUAGGUGGAUAGUCAUGUCAACUGAAUACCGGAUAAAAUGAAUAUCAAUGAAAUAUUUGGUUCUAUUUUUAACACGUGAACCUACUCAGUGUGUUGUCCUGUCAUUAACUCUUGUUAAGACAUGAUCUUGACAAGACCAUGUUUCUCCAUGAUCUGAAAGUUUUGGCUUCACUAUUUCUUGACAGCCUCUAUAUCUUUGGGUAUGUAAGAAAGAAAAGGAAGGAAGAAAGAAAGAAAGAAAGAAAGAAAGAAAGAAGGAGAAUUUUUGUUUCUUUUCAGAUAUGUGUUUCAAAAUUUUGCAUGAAUUAGUCAAAGUGCUUUAAGUUUUAAGGUAAAAUUAAAAUGAGAAGGGUAGCUUAUAUUUUAUUAAUCAAAACCAUGCUAUUUCCAUCCAGUGUAUAAUAAGGCAGACAGGUAUUAGUGCGCUUGCUUUAUAUAUGGCAGAGGUGUGACAUCUUCACUGUAGUUGAUCUGGGAUCGCAGGGCAGACCCUGAAGCAAGAUGGAUGAAUGCCAAGGAUGGCUGAGUAUUGCUAGCUCCUCCCCCCCUUUUUAAAAAAAAGUUAUUUAGUUUCAACAUUUCUCUCUUCUCUUUCCUCUGCCCUAACCCUCCCAUAUAUCUCUCAAAGCUCUUGUUCAAAUUCAUGGCCUCCUUUUCCAUUGAUUGUGAUGCAUGCAUAUGUAUUCGUAUAUACAUAUGCAUGUCUAAAUAUAACCUGUUCAGCACAUAUAAUGUUACAUGUAUGUAUGCAUGCUUUCAGGACUGACCAUUUAUUUGACACUGGACAACCAGUUGGUGUCCUCUUCUGUGGGGUCCCCUCGUCUGCCCUUAGCUGUCCUCAGUUUGAGCAAUCUUUUCAAACUCCAAGUGGCUUUGGAGCACAGAGCUGUCGUUUGAAACAUUUUUUAAGUUGUUUGCUUGUAUCCUUCCUCUAUAAGAAAAAGGAAACAUGGCAAAUAAAUUUGUUUCAAGAAGCCCUAUAUCUUGAUCUGGAAAGAUCUGCACAAAUAUUUUGAUCCCGUGUAAACUACAUCAAACAAACUUCUCAGCUGUUUAUUUUCUAACUUAGGCUGCUUUCAGGAUAAGGACUGUAAAACCUGGCCUUGUUGACAUUUGUUUUCCUUUAAUAUUUGCUUUUGGAGAAACCAGGUCCUUCCAGUUUUAUUGCAUUGUAGAAGUAUUUACUGAUUUGUCUUUACAGCAGAUUACUGCUGUACCCACUGUGCAUUUAAAGUGCCAUGACUCUCUAAGAAGCAUUAUUAUUAUUAUUAAUUAUUGUGAUUACUAAUUAUCUUAAGUUUCAUUUAAAAUUGAGGUUGAAAGUCGAGGUGACUUUCUGGUGGCUGUGCAGCUGAGAGGUCGGACAAUGGGACUGCAGUUUGGCCUGAGUGGUUCUGGGGCCUGUGCUCAAAACUACAGCAACAAAGCAGCAACUACAGCACUGUGCUUGGAGGAAGUUUGGCAGGAAGUCUUAAAGAACCAAACAGCAUACCCUUCCGCCCCAGGCAUAUUCAUAAGCUAUUUUGGGAUGAGUCAUCGGAAUUCUGUGGUUUGCAUACCCUGAAGGGAAAGAGAAGACACUGUAUGGUUAUACAGUGAAAUAACAAGUUGGAAAGAAACAUUCUUUGAUAAAAGUUCAGCAUUAGGUAAGAAACGCCAGUGGCUCCAUUUUUAUAAAGAUUCCGCCUGUAUGUACACCUCUGGCAAUACCAUACAGAAGUGACUCUUUCGCCUGUGCACUUUCCCCGCUUUUUGUGCUGCCCGUUGAAGUCUGAGCAGGUGUUUAGUAGCAAUAAACAAAUGGCUGUUUUUUUCCACUGGAGUUUGUGCUGUAGGUGAAGAUCCAAAGGCCAAGCCAUUUCUCUGAGACUACUGGAUAACACCGCCAACAUGGUCAUUGUACAAUACGAUGAAGUCUACUCUGUCAUCUACAACAACAAGAAGUACUGGUCAAGGACUACAGGACUUUUUAUUUAGCAUCAAAGUAGAUGAUGAAGACAGUUUGCAAUUAAAACAACAACAACAACAACAACAACAACAACAACAACAACAAAGAACUCUUUUGAAAAAAACUGAUUAUGGCUGGAGAAGAGAGAUAUGUACAAUUUACUCGGGUUUUUAGUGUAUACAGAUGCUCUAUCCUAAACACCAAGUGGAUGAGUGAAUGUGCUAUGGUGUUUGACAGGCAGAUUUGCUGUAAUCUCCAGAGAGAUAUGUAGAUACUGCAACUGUCCAUCAUUUUUUUUUAUGUGUCUCACAAUGCCCUUGCUUCCUAGUUCUCUUUGCUCUAAUUAUGCAACACUGAGUCAACCUCACUGUCAGUUGCAAGUGUAUUCUGACUCCAAGAGGGUGCUGCCUCAAUUCAGAAUCAGCAAUGUUUAAUUCUGGGUUGACUCUCACAACAGGAAGCAUAGGCUAGGUUUUGUGCCAGUAAUAAACAACUUAAAUAUCUGAGUGGCUUAGCCCAACAACCUUUCUUCCUUUCUCACACAUCUAUCCUCCAAGGCUGGCAUGGGCUUUGCUUAUUGUAACCACCCCAAACUGCUUUCAAGGUAACAUAGCACAGGAUGUGACAAAUGACACCCUGCUGCCUAGACUCUGCCUGCAUACAUUUUGUUCUUAUUCACACACUAGUUUCUCUUCCUCCUCCUUAUCUUCCUCCUUCCUCCCCUCCCCACACCAUCUCUCUCCUCUCCUCUGCCCUUCUGCUCUUUUCUUCUCUCUUCUUUCCUCCCCUCCUUCCUUCCCUUUGAUGGAACAGUGACCACAUGCCCAAUAUGAAUAUGAGGGGAAAUGCAAGCCUACUGUUUCUCAGGAAGGUGAAGAUUUCCAUAUUUGAUGGAGUAGUCUAGGAAUCAGCAUAUGUGUACACCCAUUGGGAAUUGUAUUGGGCAGAGCUGGAUUCACUCUUCGAACCACUAAGUGUUCCAGCAGCAUUGACUUCCUGUACUUUUAAGCAUCUGGACUGACCCUGUGGUAAUCAUACUAACACACUGUCACCUGUAUGGUUUGUUGCUAGCUUGCCUUCUUUAGCUCCAUGUUUUGUGCUUUGUUAUAGUGAUGGUGACCUCUAUGAGUUCAGUUUGAGUUCUUCUGCCAGUCAAACCCAUGAAUGACAGCACGAUAUCUUGCCCAGGGAAAAAUUAUUUUCUAGUGAUAUUUUAAAAUGGGCAUGGAUAAUGCUAGCAUGAAUUUAUUAGGCAAAUUUGGGUUCCAGGAGAAUCAAUUCUGAGAUAAUCAGAUAUAUGAGGUUUUAGGCCUGGAAAGAAAUUUGAGGACAGUCUUUAUUCUACACAAAUUCAACAUUUUAUAUCUAUCUUUCUCCAACAAUUAUCUAGAUCUAAAUUAACUAUCAUCCCUCUGUUCUCCAUUGUCAUACGUAUUUUCAUAUCCACAUUGCUAAGAAAACAAUUUUGAGGUUCAUGAAAACUUUUCCUUUGUCAGAAACUAUGAAGCAGCUCUACUAGUCUUUUGCUACAUAAUUUUAAAACAGAGUUAGAAAAAGAACCCAGUAUAAAACGUAUAAUUUUAGCAAAUGUUGGGACUUCCGAAAUCGAUAGGAUCUGAGUCCAGAUUUGUAAGAUCUGACAAUGUAUUUGAAAUGUUUUGAUAGAAAUAGAAAACAAAUAAUGAUAUGUACAACUGUCUUCAGAACACACAGAAAAGUUGCCUUGGUGACUUUUUUUUAAGUGGAUAUUUCUUUAUUUACAUUUCAAAUGUUAUUCCCUUUUCUGGUUUCCUAUCCAUACGUCCCCUAUUCCCUCCCCAUCCCCUUCUUCUAUAAGGGUGUUUCCCUCCCCAUCGCCCCCUGACAAUCCCCUUCCACUGGUGCCCCAACAAGGCUAUUCACUACUACCUAUGCAGUUGGAGCCAUGGGUCUGUCCGUGUACAGUCUUUGGGUAGUGGUUUAGUCCCUGGAAGCUUUGGUUGCUUGGCAUUGUUGUUCUUAUGGGGUCACAAUGCCCUUCAGCUCUUUCAAUCCUUUCUCUAAUUCCUCCAGCGGGGGUCCCAUUCUCAGUUCAGUGGUUUGCUGUUAGCAUUGACCUCUGUAUUGGACAUGCUCUGGAUGCACUUUUUACCUUCAUCCAUCUUAUCUAGUUUUGG